rnacentral:rRNA from 1 species
CAGAAUCAACGCUGGCGGCGUGCCUAACACAUGCAAGUCGAACGCGGUUACCCCGCCAAGGGGUAACGUGAGUGGCAAACGGGUGAGUAACGCGUGGGUGACCUACCUUCGAGUGGGGGAUAACGUUUCGAAAGGAACGCUAAUACCGCAUGACAUCCUGCCUUUGGACAGGCGGAGAUCAAAGCCGGGGAUCGUAAGACCUGGCGCUUGGAGAGGGCCCGCGUCCGAUUAGCUAGUUGGUGAGGUAACGGCUCACCAAGGCGACGAUCGGUAGCCGGCCUGAGAGGGCGGACGGCCA